rnacentral:rRNA from 1 species
UACGUAGGGUGCGAGCGUUAAUCGGAAUUACUGGGCGUAAAGCGUGCGCAGGCGGUUUUGUAAGCCAGAUGUGAAAGCCCCGGGCUUAACCUGGGAAUGGCAUUUGGGACUGCAAGGCUAGAGUGCGGCAGAGGAGACUGGAAUUCCUGGUGUAGCAGUAGAAAUGCGUAGAUAAUCAGGAGGAAUACCGAUGGCGAAGGCAGGUCUCUGGCUGACACUGACUCGAUGCACGAAAGCGU